GCCAGUGGUUGGUACAGUGGUUAGAGUGCCGGACUAGGACUUGGGAGAUCAGGGUUCGAAUCCCCACCUGGCU
rnacentral:tRNA from 1 species